GGCUGCGCACGGAAUAUAGCCUUAUUGGCUCGAACUUCCUCGUGCGAUUCGCGUCACGGCGACGUGCGGCCGUGGGGGCGGAGAGACGCGGCUGCGGCGGUCGCGGCGGCGCAAGCACGAUCUCAGACACGGUAUCGCGGCGGCGGCAGUGGCGGUGGCCACACCGGGUCGGGCCCCCUCCCUCCUCUGUUCCCCCCUCCUUCCCCUUCCCCUCAGCGGUGGUUUGCGAGGAGUCCAAGACGUGCGGCGUGGCGGCGACGACCUCCGGUGAGGCUCUCUGGAGUGCGAGUGCCGUUUCCCCGGCGCAGAGGGGGAGCUCCGUGUCUGGGAGGAGGUGAGGGCUGAGGGGGCAAGUGUGCCCGGAG
rnacentral:lncRNA from 1 species